rnacentral:lncRNA from 1 species
CUUUUUUCAGAGUGCUGUGGUUUUCAGUGUAAAGAUUUUUUAUUUCCUUCAUAAGUGUCUGAUGGAGAAAGAGUCAUUUAAGCAAAUCCUAGUGGAAAGUGGAGGACUGUCACCAUGGUGCAGCUGGAGUAGGGCCACAGCCCCUGUCCUCACCGGCGAGCAUGUCCAGGCCAGGUGAAUUUAAAUACCUGAAAUGCUUGUGGAAUGCUAUUCGGCCCGGAAGCAGCUUUAGAGGCAUCUGCACAGGUAGACACCGGCGAGGAAGGAGAGCAGAGAGCAUUUCUCUGCCCACAUCUCUGGGUCAGACACAGCUGGAAUUGCGACUCUAGAUGUUCAGCAUCUAUCAGCACCCCAACACAGCCCUGUCCACACCAUGUUCCAGAAGCCAUCAUGGUGUGGGUUUCUGUUUCAUUCCUGGUUAAUUCUGACUUUCUCAGGUAUGAUUUACUCUUGGCAGGAAAGAGUUUGUCUAUAAUUCUCAGAAAAGACUCACAUAUGCUGAAAACAUACCCAGCAAACUGACUAAAAUGCGGGGGCCUGCCCUAUUGUUCUACAGCGGAGGCUAAGAUUUUAAUUCCUAAAACAUUCUCAGGUGAAGUGGAUGUUGCAGCUCCAUGAUCCACAUUUUGAGAAGGAGGGUCCAGACCAGUGUCUGGAAUGGACCCAUCUAAGAUGCAAUGCUUGGCCUCUGUCCUGAGUACGGCCAACGCUGGGUCUGGACCACCAUGUUUACUGGUACAGUGGCAUGAUCCAUUACUGUGCAUUGGCAUGGAGCCCAGUGGACAGAGCACGUGACCAUGCACGGACUUCGGAGAGAAGAGCUGACUACUGUGAAAUGGGAAACUUUUGCCCACUCCAGUGGUGGGGUAAUCACCAUGCAUGCUUGGGAUGCACUUGCUCAGUGGCCUCCAUUGUCUUUUCCCAACAUUUUGGUCCCACCACAAUAUGCAGAUAAACAUUAACCAUUUCCCUAAAAUACUCUGUGCUUACAGAUCUGUAUACAUUUCCAAUCUCUUCUGAACGGAGCAGCCUUCAUCCUUCUCUGCUCGAUUAAACCCUGUAUUUUUCUAGAUAGCUCUCAGGACGUGGCCCUGGCUGCUUCUCAGCUAAGAUCCCCUUGACCUGGGCCCUGGCUCCAUCAGUCUGGCACCUGUGCCUGGGAGGGUAUGAGCUCCUUUUCCUCCAGCCCUGGUGGAGGCAUCAGCCUAGAAUGCUCAUCUGGGAGGCUGAACUAGCUGAUCCUCUUCAUCGAGCCUCAGUUCACCCCUGGCAUCCUGGAGUCACAGCAGCCACAGGGGUUUCUCUAUAUAUCAUCCUAUAUUGGUGCCUUUAGUGUGCUUUGUGGUACCUUAUUUGACUAUUUAUCUUCAUUUACAGAAUUCCCAACCCCACGAAGGUGAGGCCUUGACCUUCUCUACGGAGCUCUGUAUCUCCAUAGUCUAAAGCAAUGUAUGCUGGUUAGAAGCUUCCUGCACGUACUGAAUCGAUGAAAGCUAAAAGUAUUGAACACAGUAAAUGGAUCUCUGGCUUUUGCUGUGUGCCUGUCUCAAGCCUCGUUUGCACUAUGAGAAACACAAGAGUCCCUUUAGCAGGAUCUCUUAUGAGAAGUAAAAUAAUAUAAUGCACAUAAUGUGUUCAGCAUGAGGUGAGGAAGGAGCCUAGCAAAAGCACUCCUUUGCGUACAAGAGUGGCGACAGGAGUUGAGAGGAGGCAGGGAGCAGCCUCGAGACCAACACGGGAAAGUGGCCUUCUCUCUGGGCUCCAGGAGAUGGCAUAACAUAGGGGAUGUUUAUUGAGGGAGUGAGCUUGAAAGUCAGUGACUAUCUGAUGAAUGACCGUUUCACCAAGGGCUUCUGUUCCAAGAUGAUGGGUUUAUGUGUAUCUGGACUCAAGGGGGAGAUUCUAACCCGCUGCUAUCGGAAUGGUGAAAUAUUCAAAACUGGGUGUAUGGAGUGGGGAGGUAAUUAUGUGCGUGGCCAACAUAUGGCACAGGCUAUAUUUCUCCUGCUGAAAGAAACAAGUCCAAAUAUGUAGCGUACACACAUUCUCUCUCCUAUAAAUACACAGAUUGGAUGAUGCUGCAGCAACAUUUUGUUAAUACCAGAAUCCCAGAGGAAUCAUUGGAAGCAUUUUAUCAGAGGAACAGAUGGUUGGGUCCCUCCUGGUCUGAAGGCAUUUCUGGCUGUCAUGUGGUUUUUCUAUAAAUAAACCCCACUGAAAGGCAAAAGAAGGUAAGCAAUCAGUUUCACUCUCUUAUCUUCACAAAAGAAAGCACUGAAAAAAAUAAAAUAAAAGGCUGGCUAGUUUAAAGAUGCUUCUAUCAUCAAACCCAAGGGCUGAAGCGAUCUUGUAAACCCAUCAGAGCAUCUGCUCCUUCUAGGCAAAACCCC